AAAUCACUGAAAUCUCUCCUACUCCCACUGUUUUUCAUUUCGUUCGUUGGGACCUACCGCCGCAUCCCCCCUCCUCCUCCUGCUGUCCCUUUUCUUCUUGGCACACACUGGCAAGCGUCCAGAGUCCCGACAGGAACCUAAACUGAGAAGAAAUGGGGUGAGAACGUGGAGGUUGAAAGGAGGCAGCUUUGGUGGGGAAUCUCGGCAUCCUUUCCUCAGAGAGUCGACCCACUCCACCUCGUAUGUUUUUCUUCUCUGCGGCAAGAUUGGAUCUUCGAUUCUUUCUCUCCCGUCCUGCGAUCAUUACCCUGUAGUUGUUUUCUUUAUUGUGUGGCACGCUUCGAGGAUCCAUCUUCCUUGCUGCCUUUGGAUGCUCGGCGACUCGUCGUUGCCGCGGAAUUUUUGGUGUUGACGGGUAGUUGGUUGGUGGUUUCUCUUUCUUGCCUGCUGGUGUUAAGAACAGUAUAAUUGGCAAUCCUCGCCGCUGUGUAUCAUGUGAUUUAUUUAUGUAUUCCGUCCGUCCCUUUUAUUUGUUCGAUUGUCUGUUUCGUGCGAGAUCUGCUUGCAGAGGUUGCUGCUGUAGCAUCGCAGUUCUUUUUCCGUGCGAUUUUUUUCUCGUGGCUUGAUUUUGCUUUUGGAGUUCCUUUUUCGUUCCCACUUCAAUUCUUGGUGAGAUUGCUUUCUGACUCUACUGACUGUUCUGUUUUUCUUGUUUACAAAAAGAGAAAGUAAGUUUUAGCGUGGUGAGAACUAUUCAUUUAUCUUUGUGUUCUUCCAGUCAACCGCAGACCUCACACCUGUAAAAACAGCUAAACAUUUCACCGGAAGUUCCUCAAUCCUUUCCAGAUGCAUCAGAUAAUUCUUUGCUGCCCCAUCCAGAAUAGUGGGGAAACUGUGGCAUUUUCAUAAUUUGGAGUGAUAUAUUACAUUCUACCGAGGAAGUGAGGUAUUACUUACUGGUUCAGAGUGCCAUCUUGCUUCUCGCAUCAAUGGCGGCUGUGUCUGCUCAUGACUCAAGGCAGUACUCAUGGUUGUGGGUUAGCCAUAUCAGCCCCAAGAACUCCAAAUGGCUCCAAGAAAAUCUCAGCGAUAUGGACACGAAGGUUAAAGCCAUGAUCAAGCUUAUCAAUGAAGAUGCUGAUUCUUUUGCAAGAAGAGCGGAGAUGUACUACAAGAAACGCCCAGAGUUGAUGAAACAAGUGGAGGAGUUUUAUCGAGCAUACCGUGCAUUAGCAGAAAGGUAUGAUCAAGCCACCGGGGCACUUAGACAGGCUCACAGAACAAUUUCUGAAGUAUUCCCAAACCAGAUGCCAUCAAUGGAUGAGUCACCCUCUUCUGCCGGCCAAGAAGUGGAACCACAUACUCCAGAGAUGCCUCCACUCUCCCGUCCAACAUAUGAAUCAGAUGAUCAUAACUCUAAGAGGAAUGGUUCACACUCUCAGGAAACCAGUGCAUUGUCAAACAGAAAAAGUCUGAAGCAGUCCAAUGAUUUGUCACUCGGUGGUGAAAAUGCUCCUCGUAUUGUUUUUGAUGGAAAAGCACGGAAAGGCCUAAAUUUUGAAAGCCCAGAAGUUAAAGGGAAAGAGGAUAUCAGCAAUGGAAUAUUAAAUAUGCAAGAAGAGAUUUCGAGGCUAUUAGCUGAGAACCAGAAUCUGAAACAACAGAUGUUGUUGGAAUCAGAGCGGGCAAAGAAAGCUGCAACUGAGAUCCAAAAUCAGAAGGAUACCGCUUCUCAGUUGAAUUCUGAGAAAGAUACAUCUAUUCUGCAGUAUGACCAGUCCACUGAGCGUUUAUCUGCUUUGGAGUCUGAGCUCUCUAAGGCACAGGGUGACCUCAAGAAGCUAACUGAUGAAAUGGCUUUGGAAGUUCAAAAGCUAAAUAGUGCUGAAUCACGCAAUAGUAUGAUACAGUCUGAGCUUGAGGCUUUGGAUCAAAAGGUGAAGUUACAGCAACAAGAGCUUGAUCAAAAGCUUAAGGAAUUGGAAAAUCUCCACUCAAGCUUUCAGGACGAACAUGAAAAGCGCAUGCAUGCUGAAAGUGCUCUUCUUUCCAAGGGAAAGGAGGGUGCUCAAUCUAAGGAAGAAGUUCAAAGGUUGACUAUAGAGAUCAAGAUGGCAAAUGAAAAUUUAGAUGAGCUCAUGCAGCGCAAGAUGCACCUGGAGACCGCUGUUUGUGAGCUGAAGAUGGAAGUCGGGAGCCUUACUGAACAAAAUCACUCUUCCGAACUGCUUAUACAACAACUCCGUGGUGAGAUAAAUUCACUGACGGAUUCAAGGAGUGAACUUCAAAAUGAAAUCCAAAGCAUUAGGGGCACCAUGUCACAGCUAAGCGCUGAGAAGGAUGGAGGUCUACUUCAACACCAGCAGUCUGUGGAAAGGGUUUCUGUUCUGGAAUCUCAGCUAAUGAAUACACAGUCAGAGCUGGAGGUUAACGAAAAUAAGGUGCAUAUCCUGAUGAAAGAUGUGGAACGGAAGAGAGAGGAAAUUCACAGUAUUCACGGCCAGCUACAAAAUGAAAGCGAUAGGCGAACACAAACUCAAGCAGCUCUUCUCAUGUCAGAGAGUCUGCAUUCCAAGUUGGAGGAAGAAGUGAAAAGGCUGACACAAGAUCUUGACACGACAAUAAAGAAGCUAAGUGAGUUGGAAAAUGAAAAGUUAAAUCUGGAGAAUACAUCAACAGAAUUGAAGAAAACCAUUUUAGGUCUGAACUCUGAGAUGGAUGCAUCACUACUUCAACAGCAUCAGUCUCUGGAGAAAGUAUCUGAUUUGGAGUUACAACUCUCGGAGACAAAGUUGAAACUGGAGAAGUCUGAACAGAAAAUGCAGUUACUGGAGCGAGAAAUGGGACAGAUGAGUGAAAGUGUCAAUAGUCUGGAGUUGACUUUGAAAGACGAAGCUGGGAAGAGGGUGCAAGCUGAAACGUCUCUCAGGUCAAUGGAGAAUAUGUAUUCUCAGUCUCAGGAAGAAGUGAGCAGGCUGCAUCGAGAGAUUGAGAAGCUGAAUGGCAAAUUGAAUGAGUUGGAGAACUUGUCAUCUGAACUCAAGAGCUCCAUCUUACUUCUAAACACCGAAAAAGAUGCAACCCUUCUUGAGAACCAGGAGUCCUCGAUGAGAGUAUCCAAUCUGGAAUCUGAACUCUCACAACUGCAAGCUGAACUCCGAACGAGCCUAGAUGGUGAAACCAAGAAGCGUAUUGAAUGUGAAGCAGCUCUCCUCUUAGUGACGGAUCUUCACUCUAAAUCUCAGGAUGAAGUGAACAAGUUGGCCAUGGACAUUGAGGAGCUGACCAGGAAAUUAAGUGAGGUGGAGAACAUUAAGAUGGAUCUUGAGAACAUUGUAAACAAGCAUACAAAAGAUAUCCAUAUCCUCCGUGAACAGAAUGUUUCUGCUGAGCUUAUAAUUAAAGACCUGCAUUGGGAAUUGGGUGCAUUAAAGGAGUUGAAUGUGAAACUUGAGGCUGAAGUGGGUUCACAUAUAGGUGAAAAGGAGGCUAUUCGGAGAGACUUUGUUCGUCAAAGAGAGGAGAAGGAAAAUCUUGAUGGGAUACACCAUGCUCUGGCUUAUGAGAUGAAUGCUCUAAAAGACAGCGCAGCAGCAAACCAGAUGUUGAUAGAGGAAUUGCAGAUUACAAACUUAAAACUGAAGGAGGUGUAUGCAAAGAAUUUGAUUGAAAAGGCGCUUCUCUCAGAAAAGCUUCAAGAGAUGGAGAAACUAUCUGAAGAAUAUUCAGUGUUGGAGAACUCAGUUUCGGAUGCAAAUGCUGAAAUUGAAGGACUGAGGGAGAAGAUAGAAGUGUUGGAGUCUUCAGAAAGCUCUUUGAACGGUGAGAUUUCCACUUGUGUUUCUGAAAAGGAUGCUCUUCUAUCAGAGCUAGACACCCUUGGUAAAAGUUUCGCUGUUAUUUCAGAGAAGAAUUCCGCAUUAGAGAUGUCAUUAUGUGGUCUGAAAGCUGAGUUUGAAGACAUGAGAAUAAAAUUGAAAGAUUCUGAAAAAACAUGCCAGGCUCAGCUUGCAGAUAACUCAGCUCUUUCUGCAGAAAAAAACAACUUGUUCUCUCAGAGAGUGCCUUUUUCAUUUCAGCUACAGAACAUUACAGUGGUUGCAAAAGCCCUGGAAAGUAAGCAUUCUGAUCUUCAAGACAAGCACACAUCUUUGUCAAGAGAGAAGGAUCUUGUAUAUGAUCAAGUAAGGAAACUGAAGGGUCUGCUGAGAACAAUUAAUAAAGAGUAUGAAAAUGCUGUGAAGUCACAUGAAAUGCAUGCAAACAGCCUAGAGAAACAGAUUUCUUCUCUCCAUGAAAAAAUCCAUGACAUGGACGAGAGGCUUCAGGAGGAAGAGCAAAAAAGCAUGGGAGCUUCUAUUUGUGUGGUGGCCUUGGAGAGUAGUUUGGUUUAUGCAAAAGACGAGAAUGUGGCUCUUUUAAACAAAUGUCAAAAGUAUGCGUUGGAAAAUCAUGCUGCGGAGAUUUUAAUAUCACAGCUGGAGGAUAAAGCCAGAUACCAUGAAUCGGAGAGGAAAACAUUGCUAAAGCUUAAUGGGAGACUAAGAGAAGGGAUUUCACACCACUUGAAGGUCCUUAACAUCGACAGGGAUUUAGGACCUGCUGAGAUAGCUCAGGACGAAAUUUUGCUACAGUCUGUUUCAGAUGAAACCUCCAGUAUUCUGAAACAUAAAGAGGAAAUUGAAGAUGAUAAUACUCUCAUGUACACUGAGCUCUCAGUCCUCUCGACUGUCAUGUUGCAGCUAGGAACGGAGUUCAGAGAUCUGCACUUGCAGAAGUGUGCCCUUGAGAAAGACGUAGAGAGAGAAGCAACAGAAUUGAUUUCUUUGCAAAUAAAAAAUUGCCAACUUUUGGAAUCUAAUGACCAGUUUAGGCAAGAGCUACAAAAUAACAGUGAAAGGGAUCAGCUGCAGAAGAUUGAAGCAUUAGUUUUACACGAGAAGCUAUCUUGUUUGGCAGAGUCCUACGAGGCUUCGCAAGAUAAAAUUACUGACAUGGCUGAGAAAAACGAGUCCUUGUCUAAGGAACACCAGUCUUUGAUUGAGAAGUACAAUGCCUUGGAGGACGAGAACGGUACUGCUCUUAGAGAAUGCAUGAUGCUUGAGCACCUGUCUUUGUUCUUGAGAGGCCAUAAUAAUGAGGUAGCAUCUGCAUUGGUAUCUCUUACUGAUGAGAUGGUGUUGCUGAGUUUAGUUAAGGGUGAGCUUGAUAAUGAAGUCAAAGUGCUGACUGCAAGAGCUAUAUUGUUUGAAUCAGAAAACAAUUACCUCAAGAAAUAUUUAGUCUACUUGACAGAAGUUCUCACGACUCGGCUUAUCCUCUUAGAGUUUGACUUGAACGCGGGGAAAAGUAUCUCCCAGGAAUUGGCUGUUGAACUUGAGAGUUGCAUGGCGCAGUUGAUGCAGAAGGAUGAUGAGCUACUGGAAGCAGAAGAGAAUGUUCAGCUCAUGCAAGCAAAGAACCGGGAAUUAUGUGGAGUUGUUGGGGCGCUUCAGAUUGCCAUUGAAGGUGCUAAAGUGGUGAAAGGAGAACUUGAGAAGAAAAUCAUGAUCCUGACCGAGGAGGGCACUACCAAGGAUGGUGAAAUUUUACUACUUCGCCAAGCAAAUGAAACUCUUGAAAUGGAUGCUGGGAUUCUGAAAAGGAAGGAGCAGAGUUUGAUUUCUGCACAUGAGCUCAUGUCGGAAGAGGUUGAGCAACAUGAAAGAGAAUCUCUUCUGCUGAUAGGUGACACAGUAACCUCUUCUGUGAAUGUCGCGGUCUACAAAGAAAUGGCACUAGAGUUUAUGAUGGAAGCCAAGGCUAUUGAAAUUAGUGCAAUCGCGCAAAAAGAAUUAAUAUUGAAUAAAAUCUGCAUGCGAGAUGCCCAUAUUGAGGCUCUGCAGAAAAAUGUAAUCGACAUGCAGGAAGAAAAUGCAGAGCUGAAUGCCGAACUGAGCAUGCAGCUAGCACUCAUCAGAUCUUUGUCUAAUCAUAUCAGUUUGCUGGAGGAAGAUGCUCUUUCUCUGUCAAAACCCUACAGCAUAGAAUGCAAAGAGGAAACCUGCAUGCAAGAGGACAAGAUUGGCCCAAAGUCUCAUCGGUUUGCCGGCGGAACUCUGGAGUUAAAGCAGUUAACGUCAAGAAUAGAAGCACUUGGGGUGGUUAUAUCGAAUUCCAAGUGCCGUCGAGAUGAGGAGUCGACCAAUUCCACUGCAAAGAUGAUGGCAGUAAACAUGGAAAUCCAAGAGCUUAAAACAAAAGGCGGCUCAGAAAUAUAUUCUGAGAAGGAGAAGCAAAAAGAUGGCGAGGGCUCCAAAGGGAAGCAGGUCCAGAUGAUGAAGGAUAUUGAACUUGACGAAAUAUCAACCUACUAUCCAGCAUACGGUACAGAAGCUUCAUCGUACCCAGUUGGAGUUGGCAAUGGUGCGAACGCGGAGGUGGACGAUGAGAUGCUUCAGCUAUGGGAGGCUGCAGAGAGGACGUGCAAGAACCAAACAGCCAAGUCGUCGUCAUGCGAGCACGAGCACGAGCAUGACAUAGAGGCGGUUGAGGAGGUGAAGAGCGAGUACCCUUCGUCGGAGCUAUUAAGGGGAAGAGACCUGGGAAUCAUCAACAAACUCGAGAUGUCGUCUUCAGCAGAGCCUGAUGAGUUAUGGGGCAAGAAUGUGGCGGAGAGGCUCGCUUCUGAUGGGCAGAGACUGGCGAGCAUCCAAGAGAGCAUCGAGGAACUGAAGCGGAAGAUGGGUGGCCCGGCCAAGGGGCACUCGGAAUACGAGAGCGUGAGCAGUCAGCUGCGCGAGACGGAGGGGCUGGUGUUGGAGCAGAUGAACCUCAACAGCAAGUUGGCAAAGAAGGCCGAGAAUUACCCUGCGCUGUUGGAUAGCAUGAACGCGGAGCGGGAAGGUGGUUUUCCAAGCAAGAGGAAGAUGUUGGAGCAGGUGCGGAAAGGGUCGGACAAGGUGGCGAGGCUGGAGCUGGAGCUUCAGAAGAUACAGUACGUGCUGCUGAAGCUGGAAGAAGAGCACGAGUACACAAGGCUCAAGGUGUCGGAGAAGCGCACCCGGGUGCUCCUCAAGGAUUAUCUCUACGGGAGGAAGGACCACCGUGGAAAGAAGAAGAGGGCACCCUUCUGCAGCUGUGUGCGCUCUAAAUCCAGGACUGAGCCAUGACCAUUUUGUGGCCGUCGCGGCCAGAAAUAAGAAACCUUUCUUAUCUUGUACUUAUAUAUAUAAAGAUAAAGAGGAAACCAUACUUGUAGUAGGCUCGUGUCCCCUUUGUAAUUGAGCUAGCAUGUUAGUAUUCAGAAUAAGCUUGUGUAUCUAUUUUUCUUUUUCAUCUGUGGGUGUGAGUAAAAUGUGUUAAUUUUCUUCGGCAUCAAUUGGAUAGAUGGAUGAGGCAUUUUAUUUACCUGGUAUGCAUCAUCUGGGUGACAAAGUGCAUCAGAUUUUG
rnacentral:rRNA from 1 species